rnacentral:rRNA from 1 species
CCUACGGGAGGCAGCAGUGAGGAAUAUUGGUCAAUGGACGAGAGUCUGAACCAGCCAAGUAGCGUGAAGGAUGACUGCCCUAUGGGUUGUAAACUUCUUUUAUAUGGGAAUAAAAUGUUCCACGUGUGGGAUUUUGUAUGUACCAUAUGAAUACGGAUCGGCUAACUCCGUGCCAGCAGCCGCGGUAAUACGGAGGAUCCGAGCGUUAUCCGGAAUUAUUGGGUUUAAAGGGAGCGUAGGUGGAUUCUUAAGUCAGUUGUGAAAGUUUGCGGCUCAACCGUAAAAUUGCAGUUGAAACUGGCAGUCUAGAGUAUAGUAGAGGUGGGCGGAAUUCGUGGUGUAGCGGUGAAAUGCGUAGAGAGCACGAAGAACUCCGAUUGCGAAGGCAGUCCACUGGACUGUAACUGACACUGAUGCGCGAAAGUGUGGGUAUCAAACAGGAUUAGAUACCCUAGUAGUC